rnacentral:tmRNA from 3 species
GGGGUAGCACCGGUUUCGAUUGCCGGUGCGCGGAAGGGUAAGCACGCAGAGGAACGAGUGGCCUCUAUAAAACAUUCGGCUUAAACUUAAAUGCAGAUAACAAUGCAAACUACGGCGCUCCUGUAGCGCUGGCUGCUUAAUCAACAGUUAGGCAGUUCGUCCGCACCUCUUUCCCGCCGGGAGGAUGCGGGCGUCAGAAAGGCGGGGAACAGCCGUGCCGAUGUGAAGUCGGCGGCGCGGCGGUCUUCAGAUUUCUGCCGGCAGGCCCCUUCGGUCGCAGAGGGGCGUGCCGUAAGAUAACUGCGGCAUAAGCGUGUAGAAAGCCCUUUGGCAAGCCGGUAAGACGCGAGUUCGACUCUCGCCUACUCCACCA